UCUGAGACCUGAAUUACACAUAUAUUACGGAUUACCCCUGACUUAAUGUUAUUUUCCAGUGCAGGUAUUUGUUGACAACACAUAUAUAUUGAAAAACCCAACCUAGUUGAUGUGUUCGGCAUACGUGAAGGAUUUUCUAAUUUGCUGUGAACAUAAUUUUAUCGUGUAUGUAAUAAUUUAUAAUAACACUUUUAACAUUAAAUUUAAGUAUUAAAAGUGUAAAAUGCGUGAUUUUGUAUCAAAAAUGUAUUAUUGAAUGAAGCACGUCAUUAUUUUCCCUCUGUGAGCCUCUGACAGUCUGAUAGCUUUUGACUACGUCACAUAGUAACCGGUGUUAUGAUGACGUUUUUGAGGUUCCAAUUGGGGAUAAAAACGUCGUAUAUACCCCGGCAGUUUCCUGAAUAUAUACUGACAUCUCUGUGUUGUUAUCCAAUCACAAACCUCGACACAUUUGUAAUCCGUAAUAUAUAAUAAUAUAUGUCUCUGGUUAU
rnacentral:lncRNA from 1 species